rnacentral:tRNA from 1 species
GCCUCUGUAGCUCAGUUGGUUAGAGCGCUGCACCGGAAUUGCAGGACCGUGGGUUCAAUUCCUACCAGAGGAC